AUGUUUGUUUUGGCACCACUUAUACAAAAAUUAGAAUAUAGAGAUUAUAUGGCUCCUGCACAAGAAUGACACGCAAAUUCAUCAAGUGUUCCCAUAAGUU
rnacentral:snRNA from 1 species